rnacentral:tRNA from 2 species
GCGGGCGUGGCGGAAUUGGCAGACGCGCAGGAUUAAGGAUCCUGUGGUAGCAAUACCAUGGAGGUUCGAGCCCUCUCGCCCGCA